rnacentral:tRNA from 1 species
UAUGAAAUAACAUUGAGUGUAUCCACCCAUUUAUUCAACUAAGCUAUGCUUCCAAGCUUCCCUGUGGCUUCAAACCUUCAGUUUCAUUUCUAAAGCUUAGAGACAGACUAUAAUUUUCCCAAUGCGGCGUUCCAUUCCAUUCUCUACAAAUAAUAUGGACAGGAAUUCACUUGUAAUCACACCAUAAUCAUAAGUUCAAACCCAAUUAAAGAGUGCAGUGGUGACAACGAUAAUAAAGAAGGAGAAGAAAGAAAUUUAAAAGGCCAUUGAGAUAUCCUGCAUAUUUUCCAAAGGCAUAUUUGAACGCAGACUCUGUGCCCAUUGUCCUUGCUCUGUAACACAGUCCAUUGACGGAGACGGUGAGAUUUGGGCUUGGAAGCCAUGAGGAAGAAACUGUAGAGUGAGCGAGGAAGCAAGCGCAGUAUGACCUCUAUCUGUCUCUCUACCCAAAAUGACACCUGAGGCUUCGCCGAAGAAAACAGCUCUUCCAUUUGCAGUGGAAAUUUAAACCUGAGAAGUCAACCAACUGAUGCUGUGGUGUAGUGGUUAUCACGUUAAUCUUACACACUGAAGGUCUCCAGUUCGAUCCUGGGCAGCGUCAAAUUAUUGAUGUUUUCUGCUUUCUCAACGACAUCGUUUAAGCCUUUUUUUUUAUUUAUUUUUUUUCUGGCUUCAAGAGUGGCGGCCUCUGCCCGCCAGUCUUGUCGUACCGACGGUGGAUCGACAAUCGUCAAAUCUAGGGGCGUUUUUACGAGAAUCCACAACCAGUGGGUGCUGGCUGCUGAGUCUUUUAUAAAGGCUACCCAGAAGCGAAAACGAAGAAAAUAAUCAAAAUAUCAUUUACAGAGAAAAAGGAAAAGAAUAUGGUGACUCUAUUGGUGGCCACCACCGGCGAUCCCGCCUCCAUCAACCCUGCCUCCGCCCUCCUGGCCAUGCCCGGGUGGCAACCUACCUCCUCCCUCCAGGAAAUGAAGAGUUUCAGCAAUCAACAAGUGAGGCUAUUGCUACACGACAAAAGCAUUGUGGUAGAGGACGACUUGGAUCAGCGAUGGGAGGCGGCCACCGGUGAGGUGGUGGAUGAAGUUAUCUUUUUCAGCAAACACACCGCCGUUUCUAACCGCCCUGCCCUUACCAUUCAUCCAAUUGGAGUGCCUCAUUUGCGAGAAGGGGACGUCCCGCCACAAGGCGGAAAGCCAGGAUGGGCUGCACCUCCUGAUCCGAGAAUGGGUCCAUGGCUCAGACUCUUGAAAAAAAUUGCCCAUUCUCAUAAUUUAGUUCCUGAGUUUGAGAUUACUUUGGAGGCUACUCAUCAUGGACCAGUGACCAGUAAGCCAACUAUGUUCAUUGAAAUAGGUAGCACAGAAGAAUACUGGGAGAGGCAGGAUGCUGCUCAAGUCGUUGCUCUAUUAGUAUGGGAAGGACUUGGGCUUGGAGGAGGUGCCUCAGUAGGUAACUGGAGCAGGUAAUUGCUAUGUAUCGCAGAUGCUAUUCACUUCACCAGUAGUCUUCUCUCGAGUAAUUUUGAUGCAGGGAAAAUAAGUUUUUUGCAUAAAUAAUUAGCUACCUGCAUAAUAUUGAUAGAACAGCUGGUAUUUCCGCCUCUUUUUUUUAGGUGCUCCUUAGUAUGAUAUGCAUGUGCAUGUUAUGCAAUGACUAUGUGUUUAGUGAGCUCAUGCUUCGUUUGCCAUCAAUUUUUUUUUUUCUACUCCUAACUGCUUCUCAUUGUGCAUGCACAAGCCAGUAAAUUAUCCAUGCAUAAUUUAUGAAGAAAAUUAAUGAAAAUUACUUAGUUGUGCAAUAUAGUGUACUUCUAUGUACUGGAUUGUUAAAUCUAUGCCCUUGUUCUUGAUGAUGCUUCUCUAACCUUAGUUCUCAUUUAUCAAUACCUAGCGCAAAUGACAAGAGAAAGGUCCUUCUUGGAAUAGGUGGCGGACACUAUGCACCUCGGCAUAUGGAUAUAGUUCUAAAAGAUGGUGUUUGGGUGGCACACCUGCUC